CCUACGGGGGACAGCAGUGGGGAAUAUUGGGCAAUGGGCGCAAGCCUGACCCAGCAAAGUCGCGUGAAGGAAGAAGGCUCUCGGGUUGUUAACUUCUUUUCUGAGGGACGCAGAAAGUGACGGUACCUCAGGAAUAAGCCACGGCAAACUACGUGCCAGCAGCCGCGCGAAUCCGUAGGUGGCAAGCGUUAGCCGGAUUUAUUGGGUUAAAGGGGUGUGUGGGCGGAAAGGCAAGUCAGUGGUAAAAACUAGGGGCUAACCCCUGAGCUGCCGUUGAAAAUGGUUUUCUUGAGUGCCUGGGAGGCAAGCGGAAUGCGGUGUGUAGCGGUGAAAUGCGUAGAUAUACCGAAGAACACCGGUGGCGAAGGCAGAUUACUGGCCAGUAACUGACGCUGAGGCGCGAAAGCGUGGGGAGCGAACAGGAUUAGAUACCCGAGUAGUC
rnacentral:rRNA from 1 species